GAGUUUGAUCAUGGCUCAGGACGAACGCUGGCGGCGCGCUUAACACAUGCAAGUCGAGCGAGAACCCGCCCUUCGGGGCGGGGGAAAGCGGCGAACGGGUGAGUAACACGUGGGUAAUCUGCCCUCGGUUCUGGGAUAGCCCGGGGAAACCCGGAUUAAUACCGGAUAGCCUCUCGAGCUCUCGGGCUCGUGAGAAAAGGUAGCUUCGGCCUCCGACCGAGGAUGAGCCCGCGGCGGAUUAGCUUGUUGGUGGGGUAACGGCCUACCAAGGCGACGAUCCGUAGCUGGUCUGAGAGGACGAUCAGCCACACUGGGACUGAGACACGGCCCAGACUCCUACGGGAGGCAGCAGUGGGGAAUCUUGCGCAAUGGGCGAAAGCCUGACGCAGCAACGCCGCGUGAGGGAAGAAGGCCUUCGGGUUGUAAACCUCUUUCAGGAGGGACGAAGCCACUCGGGUUAAUAGCCCAGAGGGUGACGGUACCUCCAGAAGAAGCCCCGGCUAACUACAUGCCAGCAGCCGCGGUAAUACGUAGGGGCAAGCGUUGUCCGGAUUCAUUGGGCGUAAAGAGCGUGUACGCGGCCAGACAGGUCCGUUGUGAAAACUCGAGGCUCAACCUCGAGACGUCGAUGGAAACCGUCGGGCUAGAGUCCGGAAGAGGAGAGUGGAAUUUCCUGGUGUAGCGGUGAAAUGCGCAGAUAUCAGAGGAACACCCGUGGCGAAAGCGGCUCUCUGGGACGGUACUGACGCUGAGACGCGAAAGCGGUGGGGAGGCGAACAGGAUUAGAUACCCUGGUAGUCCACGCCGUAAACGAUGGGGGCUAGUGUGGGGCGGUGUCGACUCCGUCCGGUGCCGAAGCUAACCGCAUUAAGCACCCCCGCCUGGGGAGU
rnacentral:rRNA from 1 species